AUUGAACGCUGGCGGCAGGCUUAACACAUGCAAGUCGAGCGGGGGAAGGUAGCUUGCUACCGGACCUAGCGGCGGACGGGUGAGUAAUGCUUAGGAAUCUGCCUAUUAGUGGGGGACAACAUCUCGAAAGGGAUGCUAAUACCGCAUACGUCCUACGGGAGAAAGCAGGGGAUCUUCGGACCUUGCGCUAAUAGAUGAGCCUAAGUCGGAUUAGCUAGUUGGUGGGGUAAAGGCCUACCAAGGCGACGAUCUGUAGCGGGUCUGAGAGGAUGAACCGCGACACUGGGACUGAGACAAGGCCCAGACACCUGCGGGAGGCAGCAGUGGGGAAUAUUGGACAAUGGGGGGAACCCUGAUCCAGCCAUGCCGCGUGUGUGAAGAAGGCCUUAUGGUUGUAAAGCACUUUAAGCGAGGAGGAGGCUACUCUAGUUAAUACCUAGGGAUAGUGGACGUUACUCGCAGAAUAAGCACCGGCUAACUCUUUGCCAGCAGCCGCCGUAA
rnacentral:rRNA from 1 species